CACCCAGCACCUGCAGUUCAUAGGAGCAGACCUCAACUCCCGGACGGGGUUGGCAUCUCUCCCACCCGAUCGCUUUAACUCCAUAAACCAACUGGCCACAAUCAUUCGCAACAGUCCCCAGGUGACUGCCCGAGACUGCCUACAACUACUAGGUCACAUGGCCUCGUGCACUUUUGUCGUCCAGAAUGCACGCCUCUACAUGAGGUGCUUCCAAGCGUGGCUGGCCACGGUUUACAGACCGAAUAUGCACUCUUUAAACAAGACUCUCUCCCUACCUGUCCGAGUCAAAGAUUUGCUACACUGGUGGACCGUUCACUCCAACCUCUGCUCUGGAGUCCCAUUUCUUCAGCAGGCUCCAUCACUCAUCCUGACCACCGCUGCAUCUCUGACAGGCUGGGGUGCACACGUGUCUCACCACACAGUACAGGGGCUAUGGUCGUCAACCGAGACCUCCCUGCACAUAAAUGUCCUAGAACUUCGAGCUAUUCGCAAUGCGUGCCGUCACUUCUUGCCACUAAUCAAGCAUCAUCACGUACGCAUAAUGACAGACAACAUUGCAUGCAUGUUUUAUGUAAACAGGCAGGGAGGAGCUCGAUCCCAUUCGCUGUGCACAGAGGCUAUGAAGCUCUGGAAUUGGUGCAUUGCGAACAACAUCCGGGUAUCAGCUGCUUAUCUUCCCGGGAUCGUGAACACCACAGCGGACGAACUGAGCAGACGCUUCCCAUGGGACCACGAGUGGGAGAUAGACGAGAAAACCAUUCACAACGUAUUCAGCACUUGGGGUUACCCAACAAUAGACCUUUUUGCAACUACAAAAAAACAAGAAAUGUCCCAAUUUCUGCUCCAGAGCAGGACUGGGCAAACAUUCCCUAGGGGACGCAUUCAUGAUCUCAUGGCACCGAAACCUACUGUAUGCAUUUCCCCCGAUACCAGUCCUCAACAGGGUCCUGAUAAAAAUACGAACGGACCGAGCCAAGGUGAUCCUCAUUGCCCCGUCGUGGCCCAGACAACCGUGGUUUCCGUUCCUCGCCAGAAUGUCGAUUCAACCACCAAUCUCCUUGCCGUUCAUUCCAAACCUCCUAUCUCAACAACACGGCCGUUUUCUCCAUCCCAACCUGUCCAUGCUUCACCUCAAAGCCUGGUUCCUAUGUGGUUUUCCCAAAGCGAAUUCGAUUGCUCUGAACAAGUUCAGAAGGUGCUCCUACAUAGCAGAACACAAUCUACUCGCACGACCUAUCUUCAAAAGUGGAAACGAUUCACACAUCGGUGUUCCGCUAAACACCUUUGUCCCACGUCGGUACCUCUUUCGCUUAUCCUUGACUAUCUAUUGGGCCUUAAGCAAUCCGGCCUUUCUUUCAGCUCCAUCAGGGUCCAUUUAGCUGCUAUUACAACUUUCCACGACAGAAUUGAUGACACGUCUGUCUUUGCUCAUUCUAUCACAAAGCAUUUCCUCAAGGGACUACAAACCUUAUACCCAGACAUUAAACCACCUACCACCCCUUGGGACCUUCAUCUAGUACUGUCUUGCCUAACUCAACAACCAUUUGAACCCCUAGCCACGUGCUCCCUUUUACACCUCUCGAUGAAAACAGCAUUUCUAGUGGCAAUUACCUCUG
ensembl:lncRNA